rnacentral:rRNA from 1 species
GAUGAACGCUAGCGGGAGGCCUAACACAUGCAAGCCGAGCGGUAUUUGUUCUUCGGAACAGAGAGAGCGGCGCACGGGUGCGGAACACGUGUGCAACCUGCCUUUAUCUGGGGGAUAGCCUUUCGAAAGGAAGAUUAAUACCCCAUAAUAUAUUGAGUGGCAUCACUUGAUAUUGAAAACUCCGGUGGAUAGAGAUGGGCACGCGCAAGAUUAGAUAGUUGGUGAGGUAACGGCUCACCAAGUCAAUGAUCUUUAGGGGGCCUGAGAGGGUGAUCCCCCACAAUGGUACUGAGACACGGACCAGACUCCUACGGGAGGCAGCAGUGAGGAAUAUUGGACAAUGGGUUAGCGCCUGAUCCAGCCAUCCCGCGUGAAGGACGACGGCCCUAUGGGUUGUAAACUUCUUUUGUAUAGGGAUAAACCUACUCUCGUGAGAGUAGCUGAAGGUACUAUACGAAUAAGCACCGGCUAACUCCGUG